CCGACGUCCCAUGCUCCCGGCCGCCAUGGCGGCCGCGGGAAUUCGAUUAGAGUUUGAUCAUGGCUCAGAUUGAACGCUGGCGGCAUGCCUAACACAUGCAAGUCGAACGAAGGCUUCGGCCUUAGUGGCGCACGGGUGCGUAACGCGUGGGAAUCUGCCCCUUGGUUCGGAAUAACAGUUAGAAAUGACUGCUAAUACCGGAUGACGACGUAAGUCCAAAGAUUUAUCGCCGAGGGAUGAGCCCGCGUAGGAUUAGCUAGUUGGUGUGGUAAAGGCGCACCAAGGCGACGAUCCUUAGCUGGUCUGAGAGGAUGAUCAGCCACACUGGGACUGAGACACGGCCCAGACUCCUACGGGAGGCAGCAGUGGGGAAUAUUGGACAAUGGGCGAAAGCCUGAUCCAGCCAUUCCGCGUGAGUGAAGAAGGCCUUCGGGUUGUAAAGCUCUUUCGCAAGGGAAGAAAACUUACUUUCUAAUAAAGAGUGAGUCUGACGGUACCUUGAUAAGAAGCUCCGGCUAACUCCGUGCCAGCAGCCGCGGUAAUACGAAUCACUAGUGAAUUCGCGGCCGCCUGCAGGUCGAC
rnacentral:rRNA from 1 species